rnacentral:rRNA from 1 species
AACUUUCAACAACGGAUCUCUUGGUUCCGGCAUCGAUGAAGAACGCAGCGAAAUGCGAUAAGUAGUGUGAAUUGCAGAAUUCCGUGAAUCAUCGAAUCUUUGAACGCACAUUGCGCCCCCUGGUAUUCCGGGGGGCAUGCCUGUCCGAGCGUCAUUGCAACCCUCAAGCGCG